GCGGAAAGGCCCCUUCGGGGGUACUCGAGCGGCGAACGGGUGAGUAACACGUGAGCAACCUGCCCCUGACUCUGGGAUAAGCCCGGGAAACUGGGUCUAAUACCGGAUGUGACCAGCCUCCGCAUGGAGUGCUGGUGGAAAGUUUUUCGGUUGGGGAUGGGCUCGCGGCCUAUCAGCUUGUUGGUGGGGUGAUGGCCUACCAAGGCGACGACGGGUAACCGGCCUGAGAGGGCGACCGGUCACACUGGGACUGAGACACGGCCCAGACUCCUACGGGAGGCAGCAGUGGGGAAUAUUGCGCAAUGGGCGGAAGCCUGACGCAGCGACGCCGCGUGAGGGAUGACGGCCUUCGGGUUGUAAACCUCUUUCAGCAGGGACGAAGCUAACGUGACGGUACCUGCAGAAGAAGCGCCGGCUAACUACGUGCCAGCAGCGGGG
rnacentral:rRNA from 1 species